rnacentral:ncRNA from 1 species
AGAAGCUCCCAAGCGUUUGGCUGUUCGCCAAUUAAAAGGGCACGUGAGCUGGGUUCAGACCGUCGUGAGACAGGUCGGUCUCUAUCUGCUGCAGGCGUUUACACUUGAGGGGAGCUGGUCUUAGUACGAGAGGACUAGACUGGACUGACCUCUGGUCUACCGGCUUUGGUACCAACUGAAGCGCCGGGUAGCUAUGUCGGGAAGGGAUAAGCGCUGAAAGCAUCUAAGCGCGAAGCCUACCCCAAGAUUAGGUGUAGUCCGUAAGGACAAGAUUUCGUCGAAGACUACGACGUACAAGCCUUGUGCAUGGCACAAGAAUUUUCAAUUUUCAAUUUACAAUUUUCAAACACGCGUAAUUGCGUCCAUUGAAAAUUGAACAUUGUUACAUUGUAAAUUCUCGCGCUGUGCGCGAGGUGAAUAGGCUCUCGGUGUAAGGCCCGCAAGGGUUUAAGCCAAGGAGUACUAAUAAUCUCGCCAACCAUCCCAA